UACGUAGGUGGCGAGCGUUGUCCGGAAUUACUGGGUGUAAAGCGCGUGUAGGCGGGAGGCCAAGUCUGCGGUGAAAUCGCUCGGCUCAACUGGGCGGGGUCCGUGGAAACUGGUCACCUGGAGGACGGUAGAGGCGAGUGGAAUUCCCGGUGUAGUGGUGAAAUGCGUAGAGAUCGGAAGGAACACCAGUGGCGAAGGCGGCUCGCUGGGACGUUACUGACGCUGAGACGCGAAAGCGUGGGGAGGCAAACAGG
rnacentral:rRNA from 1 species